CACUUAUUAAAUGUCACCAUCAAGCCUGUGCAACCAAUAUGCAAAGUAAAAGUACUCAGAAAUGUUUAAUCUAAAAAAUGUAAUCAUGAGAAACAAAUGAUAUUUUAUUAACAAAACAACGUGUUUCCGUUCACUGACUUGCAUUAAAUUAUGCAAAAUAUGUUACUUGCACACAGUCAAGCUGUUGACUUAAAGGGAGUGUAUUGGAUGUUAGCCCAGACGAAAUGUUCAGAGUAAGCCACAUGACAGAAGAGAGCUGGAACACUUUACUGUCUCUGUAUUCUCAUCUUUUGGAAUAGAAUGGAGGAUUGCCAUGUGAUUUCUGUUACAAAAAGUGAUAAAGUAAAUAUUGUCAGAUGCCACAUUAUACACCUUGUGUUUUAACCUUGCUCCAUGGAUGUGCUAACUAUUUAUAUCAUGGAGGACUCGUCUGACAGUGCAGUGUUUCGGGUCCAGGUUCAGUGUGCUGAUCCUUUCCUGCUAAACUACUGGUUCCAGAAGACCUUCUUCAACAAUGGGGAAGUCCAACAGAUCAACACCAUGAGGAUAAACGGCUGUCGUGGGCUAGUGUUUGUUUUGAGGGUGCUGCAUCGUUCUUCACGCCUCCCUAAUUCCCAUUAUUGGUGCCCUUUCCUAGUGACACUCUGCCUCGAUGCCCUGGCAUUUCACUACCACCUCCCCUCUGUGCCCCAGUGGAACGGCACCCUUCGAGAGGCGAUGAGAGGAAACAGCCUGGAGCUCAG